AACGAUGAUAUCACUGCUUGCAGUGAUUGAUUAGUGGCGAACGGGUGAGUAACACGUGAGGAACUUGCCCAUGAGCGGGGGACAACAUUCGGAAACGGAUGCUAAUACCCCAUAGGUGGAUUGGUCGCAUGACGAAUUCAUUAAAGGUGGCUUUGCUACCACUCAUGGAUAGCCUCGCGGCGUAUUAGCUAGUUGGUAAGGUAAUGGCUUACCAAGGCAGUGAUACGUAGCCGACUUGAGAGGGUGAUCGGCCACACUGGGACUGAGACACGGCCCAGACUCCUACGGGAGGCAGCAGUAGGGAAUCUUCCACAAUGGGUGCAAACCUGAUGGAGCAAUGCCGCGUGAGUGAAGAAGGUUUUCGGAUCGUAAAGCUCUGUUGUUAGAGAAGAACACGUGCUAGGUAACUACUAGCGCCUUGACGGUAUCUAACCAGAAAGGCACGGCUAACUAC
rnacentral:rRNA from 1 species